rnacentral:rRNA from 1 species
GAGUUUGAUCCUGGCUCAGGAUGAACGCUAGCGAAAGGCUUAACACAUGCAAGUCGAGGGGCAGCAUGAUCUUAGCUUGCUAAGGUCGAUGGCGACCGGCGCACGGGUGCGUAACGCGUAUGCAACUUGCCUUACAGAGGGGGAUAACCCGUUGAAAGACGGACUAAAACCGCAUACACUUGUAUUAUUGCAUGAUAUUACAAGGAAAUAUUUAUAGCUGUAAGAUAGGCAUGCGUCCCAUUAGCUUGUUGGUGAGGUAACGGCUCACCAAGGCAACGAUGGGUAGGGGAACUGAGAGGUUUAUCCCCCACACUGGUACUGAGACACGGGCCAGACUCCUACGGGAGGCAGCAGUGAGGAAUAUUGGUCAAUGGGCGAGAGCCUGAACCAGCCAAGUCGCGUGAAGGAAGACAGUCCUAAGGAUUGUAAACUUCUUUUAUACGGGAAUAACGGGCGAUACGAGUAUUGCAUUGAAUGUACCGUAAGAAUAAGCAUCGGCUAACUCCGUGCCAGCAGCCGCGGUAAUACGGAGGAUGCGAGCGUUAUCCGGAUUUAUUGGGUUUAAAGGGUGCGUAGGUUGUUCGGUAAGUCAGCGGUGAAACCUGAGCGCUCAACGUUCAGCCUGCCGUUGAAACUGCCGGGCUUGAGUUCAGUGGCGGCAGGCGGAAUUCGUGGUGUAGCGGUGAAAUGCAUAGAUAUCACGAGGAACUCCGAUUGCGAAGGCA